rnacentral:rRNA from 1 species
CCCUUACGACCAGGGCUACACACGUGCUACAAUGGCGCAUACAAAGAGAAGCGACCUCGCGAGAGCAAGCGGACCUCAUAAAGUGCGUCGUAGUCCGGAUUGGAGUCUGCAACUCGACUCCAUGAAGUCGGAAUCGCUAGUAAUCGUGGAUCAGAAUGCCACGGUGAAUACGUUCCCGGGCCUUGUACACACCGCCCGUCACACCAUGGGAGUGGGUUGCAAAAGAAGUAGGUAGCUUAACCUUCGGGAGGGCGCUUACCACUUUGUGAUUCAUGACUGGGGUGAAGUCGUAACAAGGUAACCGUAGGGGAACCUGCGGUUGGAUCACCUCCUUACCUUAAAGAAGC